CGAAUGGGGAAACCCAGUGUGACUCGUCACACUAUCAUUAACUGAAUCCAUAGGUUAAUGAGGCGAACCGGGGGAACUGAAACAUCUAAGUACCCCGAGGAAAAGAAAUCAACCGAGAUUCCCCCAGUAGCGGCGAGCGAACGGGGAGGAGCCCAGAGCCUGAAUCAGCAUGUGUGUUAGUGGAAGCGUCUGGAAAGGCGCGCGAUACAGGGUGACAGCCCCGUACACAAAAGCGCAUGUGCUGUGAGCUCGAUGAGUAGGGCGGGACACGUGGUAUCCUGUCUGAAUAUGGGGGGACCAUCCUCCAAGGCUAAAUACUCCUGACUGACCGAUAGUGAACCAGUACCGUGAGGGAAAGGCGAAAAGAACCCCGGCGAGGGGAGUGAAAAAGAACCUGAAACCGUGUACGUACAAGCAGUGGGAGCACAGGUUUACCUGUGUGACUGCGUACCUUUUGUAUAAUGGGUCAGCGACUUAUAUUCUGUAGCAAGGUUAACCGAAUAGGGGAGCCGGAGGGAAACCGAGUCUUAAUUGGGCGUUAAGUUGCAGGGUAUAGACCCGAAACCCGGUGAUCUAGCCAUGGGCAGGUUGAAGGUUGGGUAACACUAACUGGAGGACCGAACCGACUAAUGUUGAAAAAUUAGCGGAUGACCUGUGGCUGGGGGUGAAAGGCCAAUCAAACCGGGAGAUAGCUGGUUCUCCCCGAAAGCUAUUUAGGUAGCGCCUCGUGAAUUCAUCUCCGGGGGUAGAGCACUGUUUCGGCUAGGGGGCCAUCCCGGCUUACCAACCCGAUGCAAACUGCGAAUACCGGAGAAUGUUAUCACGGGAGACACACGGCGGGUGCUAACGUCCGUCGUGAAGAGGGAAACAACCCAGACCGCCAGCUAAGGUCCCAAAGUCAUGGUUAAGUGGGAAACGAUGUGGGAAGGCCCAGACAGCCAGGAUGUUGGCUUAGAAGCAGCCAUCAUUUAAAGAAAGCGUAAUAGCUCACUGGUCGAGUCGGCCUGCGCGGAAGAUGUAACGGGGCUAAACCAUGCACCGAAGCUGCGGCAG
rnacentral:rRNA from 1 species